rnacentral:rRNA from 3 species
UGUUCCAGGUAAAUCCGGUUCACUUUAACACUGAGGCGUGACGACGAGGCACUACGGUGCUGAAGCAACAAAUGCCCUGCUUCCAGGAAAAGCCUCUAAGCAUCAGGUAACAUCAAAUCGUACCCCAAACCGACACAGGUGGUCAGGUAGAGAAUACCAAGGCGCUUGAGAGAACUCGGGUGAAGGAACUAGGCAAAAUGGUGCCGUAACUUCGGGAGAAGGCACGCUGACACGUAGGUGAAGUGAUUUACUCAUGGAGCUGAAGUCAGUCGAAGAUACCAGCUGGCUGCAACUGUUUAUUAAAAACACAGCACUGUGCAAACACGAAAGUGGACGUAUACGGUGUGACGCCUGCCCGGUGCCGGAAGGUUAAUUGAUGGGGUCAGCGCAAGCGAAGCUCCUGAUCGAAGCCCCGGUAAACGGCGGCCGUAACUAUAACGGUCCUAAGGUAGCGAAAUUCCUUGUCGGGUAAGUUCCGACCUGCACGAAUGGCGUAAUGAUGGCCAGGCUGUCUCCACCCGAGACUCAGUGAAAUUGAACUCGCUGUGAAGAUGCAGUGUACCCGCGGCAAGACGGAAAGACCCCGUGAACCUUUACUAUAGCUUGACACUGAACAUUGAGCCUUGAUGUGUAGGAUAGGUGGGAGGCUUUGAAGUGUGGACGCCAGUCUGCAUGGAGCCGACCUUGAAAUACCACCCUUUAAUGUUUGAUGUUCUAACGUGGACCCGUUACCCGGGUUGCGGACAGUGUCUGGUGGGUAGUUUGACUGGGGCGGUCUCCUCCUAAAGAGUAACGGAGGAGCACGAAGGUUGGCUAAUCCUGGUCGGACAUCAGGAGGUUAGUGCAAUGGCAUAAGCCAGCUUGACUGCGAGCGUGACGGCGCGAGCAGGUGCGAAAGCAGGUCAUAGUGAUCCGGUGGUUCUGAAUGGAAGGGCCAUCGCUCAACGGAUAAAAGGUACUCCGGGGAUAACAGGCUGAUACCGCCCAAGAGUUCAUAUCGACGGCGGUGUUUGGCACCUCGAUGUCGGCUCAUCACAUCCUGGGGCUGAAGUAGGUCCCAAGGGUAUGGCUGUUCGCCAUUUAAAGUGGUACGCGAGCUGGGUUUAGAACGUCGUGAGACAGUUCGGUCCCUAUCUGCCGUGGGCGCUGGAGAACUGAGGGGGGCUGCUCCUAGUACGAGAGGACCGGAGUGGACGCAUCACUGGUGUUCGGGUUGUCAUGCCAAUGGCACUGCCCGGUAGCUAAAUGCGGAAGAGAUAAGUGCUGAAAGCAUCUAAGCACGAAACUUGCCCCGA